AGUGAACGCUGGCGGUAGGCCUAACACAUGCAAGUCGAACGGCAGCACAGUAAGAGCUUGCUCUUACGGGUGGCGAGUGGCGGACGGGUGAGGAAUACAUCGGAAUCUACUUUUUCGUGGGGGAUAACGUAGGGAAACUUACGCUAAUACCGCAUACGACCUACGGGUGAAAGCAGGGGAUCUUCGGACCUUGCGCGAUUGAAUGAGCCGAUGUCGGAUUAGCUAGUUGGCGGGGUAAAGGCCCACCAAGGCGACGAUCCGUAGCUGGUCUGAGAGGAUGAUCAGCCACACUGGAACUGAGACACGGUCCAGACUCCUACGGGAGGCAGCAGUGGGGAAUAUUGGACAAUGGGCGCAAGCCUGAUCCAGCCAUACCGCGUGGGUGAAGAAGGCCUUCGGGUUGUAAAGCCCUUUUGUUGGGAAAGAAAAGCAGCAGGUUAAUACCCCGCUGUUCUGACGGUACCCAACGAAUAAGCACCGGCUAACUUCGUG
rnacentral:rRNA from 1 species